rnacentral:lncRNA from 1 species
AAAAGGGAGGGGGGACACCCCCAAGGGACCCGCUCCUCGUUGAGGGACAUCUCCUUGGGGACAUCCCGUGGAGGCCACCACCUCCUUGAAGCCACCUCAAUGGGGUCACCUCCAUGAGGUCACCUCCUUGGUGACACCCCAUGGGGACAUCCCUUUGGUGACACCCCAUGGGGACGUCCCCAUGGAGGCCACCUCCUUGGGGACACCUUCCAUGGAGGCCACCUCCUCGAAGCCACCUCCUUGGGGUCACCUCGUGGGGACAUCCC